rnacentral:rRNA from 1 species
UCUUGGUCAUUUAGAGGAAGUAAAAGUCGUAACAAGGUUUCCGUUGGUGAACCAGCGGAAGGAUCAUUACAGAGUUCAUGCCCUUCGGGGUAGACCUCCCACCCUGUUUAUAUACUAUUGUUGCUUUGGCAGGUGCCCUCACCAUGGGGCGUCCGGGUUCCGCCCGCGUCUCGCCUGCCAAAAGCCCCACUAAUUCUGUGUUCUGUGUCGUCUGAGUACUAUAUAAUAAGUUAAAACUUUCAACAACGGAUCUCUUGGUUCUGGCAUCGAUGAAGAACGCAGCGAAAUGCGAUAAGUAAUGUGAAUUGCAGAAUUCAGUGAAUCAUCGAAUCUUUGAACGCACAUUGCGCCCCUUGGUAUUCCGGGGGGCAUGCCUGUUCGAGCGUCAUUUCAACCCUCACGCGUAGCGUGGUCUUGGGCACUGCCGGCAACGGCUUGCCUUAAAAUCAGUGGCGGUGCCAUCGAGCUCUACGCGUAGUAAUAAACCCCUCGCGUGUGAGUCUCGGCGGUCGCUUGCCAGCAACCCCCAAUUUUUUAUGGUUGACCUCGAAUCAGGUAGGGAUACCCGCUGAACUUAAGCAUAUCAAUAAGCGGAGGA